UACGUAGGGGGCUAGCGUUGUCCGGAAUCAUUGGGCGUAAAGAGCGUGUAGGCGGUCCGGUAAGUCCGCUGUGAAAGUCGGGGGCUCAACCCUCGAAUGCCGGUGGAUACUGUCGGGCUAGAGUGCGGAAGAGGCGAGUGGAAUUCCCGGUGUAGCGGUGAAAUGCGCAGAUAUCGGGAGGAACACCAAUGGCGAAGGCAGCUUGCUGGGACGGUACUGACGCUGGAGACGCGAAAGCGUGGGGAGCAAACGGG
rnacentral:rRNA from 1 species